AGAUUGAACGCUGGCGGCAGGCCUAACACAUGCAAGUCGAGCGGUAGAGAGGUGCUUGCACCUCUUGAGGGCGGCGGACGGGUGAGUAAAGCCUAGGAAUCUGCCUGGUAGUGGGGGAUAACGCUCGGAAACGGACGCUAAUACCGCAUACGUCCUACGGGAGAAAGCAGGGGACCUUCGGGCCUUGCGCUAC
rnacentral:rRNA from 1 species